rnacentral:rRNA from 1 species
CCUACGGGUGGCAGCAGUGGGGAAUAUUGGACAAUGGGCGAAAGCCUGAUCCAGCCAUGCCGCGUGUGUGAAGAAGGCCUUCGGGUUGUAAAGCACUUUCAGUGGGGAAGAAAGCCUUGGGGCUAAUACCCUCGAGGAAGGACAUCACCCACAGAAGAAGCACCGGCUAACUCCGUGCCAGCAGCCGCGGUAAUACGGAGGGUGCGAGCGUUAAUCGGAAUUACUGGGCGUAAAGCGCGCGUAGGCGGUCUGAUAAGCCGGUUGUGAAAGCCCCGGGCUCAACCUGGGAACGGCAUCCGGAACUGUCAGGCUAGAGUGCAGGAGAGGAUGGUAGAAUUCCCGGUGUAGCGGUGAAAUGCGUAGAGAUCGGGAGGAAUACCAGUGGCGAAGGCGGCCUUCUGGACUGACACUGACGCUGAGGUGCGAAAGCGUGGGUAGCAAACAGGAUUAGAUACCCCUGUAGUC